rnacentral:rRNA from 1 species
UACCGGCGGCUCGAGUGGUGGCCGCUAUUAUUGGGCUUAAAGCGUCCGUAGCUGGGUUGUUAAGUCUCCUGGGAAAUCCAUCGGCUCAACCGAUGGGCGUUCGGGAGAAACUGGCAACCUAGGGACCGGGAGAGGUGAGAGGUACUCCAGGGGUAGGAGUGAAAUCCUGUAAUCCUUGGGGGACCACCUGUGGCGAAGGCGUCUCACUAGAACGGCUCCGACAGUGAGGGACGAAAGCUGGGGGAGCAAACCGG